rnacentral:rRNA from 1 species
UUUCCUACGGGGGGCUGCAGUGGGGAAUCUUGGACAAUGGGCGAAAGCCUGAUCCAGCACUGCCGCGUGUGUGAAGAAGCCCUUCGGGUUGUAAAGCACUUUUGUCCGGAAAGAAAUCCUUGGCUCUAAUACAGUCGGGGGAUGACGGUACCGGAAGAAUAAGCACCGGCUAACUUCGUGCCAGCAGCCGCGGUAAUACGUAGGGUGCGAGCGUUAAUCGGAAUUACUGGGCGUAAAGCGUGCGCAGGCGGUUUGCUAAGUCAGAUGUGAAAUCCCCGGGCUCAACCUGGGAACUGCAUUGGAUACUGGCAGUCUAGAGUAUGGCAGAGGGGAGUGGAAUUCCACGUGUAGCAGUGAAAUGCGUAGAUAUGUGGAGGAACACCGAGUGGCGAAAGCAGGCCUCACUGGCCAAUACUGACGCU